rnacentral:misc_RNA from 1 species
AUGACGGAUAUGAUAAAAGUCCCAGGACCAUAUCAUCUCUGAACCCUGAAAAGCAAGUUAGUGGGUUCAGGAACUACACGGAGUCUUACUUUGGUCGAGCUGAGGAAAGGCGUGAAGCAUACAGUUAUUCUGACGUUCAAAGAGGUGAAGUUGGUAGUCCUAAUGCCCUGUCUAGUGAAUUCUAUGGGAAGAGAGUGGGUUCUGGAGAAGUACAUCUUCAAAAUCUUCCAAGGAACAUGGGAUUGGGCAAAUAUGAUGAAUUUUCUCAUCGGGAGAUUUUGAUGGAAGAUAAGCCACGGGAAUCUCUUUUUUCUUCACAAAGACGGUCACCGCCGGAUUAUUUUGAGUCCCGCAGAGCACUAGACCAAAGAAAGCCAGAUUUGGACAUAUUGGAUUAUGGGGCUAAUCGUCUACAGUAUGAAAAUGAAUCACAUCGAGGCUAUGAAAGCUCCCGUAAAAGAGAGCUUCAUAAGUAUCAGAUGGAUGAUGAUCUUCUAGAAAGAUCUGAUGCCUUGUAU